ACAGGCACCAGCUGCAUUUCCAGCUUCUCAGGGGGGCCAGGCUCCAUCAGCUGCUGCGUCGUUGGACAUCUGUCAACCAGGCGCUCCACAAUGAGCCCAGGCAAAUCCAGUGGCAACUGCACGGAAUUUGUAUUGUUUUGCCGCCGCUCAGGAAGCGAAUCAGGCUGCAGUUGCUGCUGCAUCGUUGGAUGGACAUAGUUAUGCCACCGCGGAGAAAGCGGGCCGGGCUCAGUCUCAGGCUGCAACGAGGGAUGUAGAUCGUUUUGCCGCCGCAGGGAGAGCGGGCCAGGCUGUACUAUAUAGACCAGCGAGGGAUAUAAGUUAUUUUGCCGCCGCAUGGAGAGCGGGCCAGGCUGUACUGAGUGUACCAACGAGGGAUUCAAUUCAGCCUUCUUCUGCAGUGUGGCAACACUGCAUAGGUGGCAACGCUACGCAAUAUACAGUUAGAUUUGACUACAUGUGCUCUGCAUAUACAUUUUUUUUUUUUUCCCGUCGCAACGUGGAAAUCGAAAACUUUUUAACAGAGAUUUAUGUCGAAAUUGCUAUCAGAUUUGAUAAUUGCGCUCAGAGGUCGCGCUUUUCUAUGCGCCAGGCGCCGCCA